GAACGCACAUUGCGCUCUUUGGUAUUCCGAAGAGCACGCCUGUUUGAGUAUCGAAAACACCAUCACGACUUGGUCCCGGAGUUCGCUCCGGUCGACUUCGAGACGUGGAUUUGGAUUGUUCAGCAACUUCGCUGGCUAUCUUAAAGAAGAGCGUUGGAAGCUGGAUCUCCUUAUUGCUGGGAUCGCUGCCCGAAAUGUUAUGAAUUGAGAUCUCUCCCCUUCUUCUCCUUCGGGAGGGGGUCGAGGGAGUUCUUCAUUUUUCUUUCUUGCAGCUCGAGCCUGGUGGAGAACCGGUCGACCGAUUCACCCACUACCACACGAGGGGUCGAGGGCGGUUGUCUCACGAUUCGUCGAAUACUUGGUCUCAAAUCAGGCGGGAAAACCCGCUGAACUUAA
rnacentral:misc_RNA from 1 species